GGACCCGGGUACGUCCUUAAACUACGUCCAAAAGAGAGGUAUGGGCAUUGUGAAUGUCAUCUCGCUUUGUGUGGUAGGGCACAGCCGGUGGAGGUACUUCCCCAGUUGGGCUCUGCUCUAGAUCUGGAAUGACAUCCACUGGCUGUGCCCUACCACACAAAGCGAGAUGACAUUCACAAUGCCCAUACCUCUCUUAUGGACGUAGUUUAAGGACGUACCCGGGUCC